rnacentral:rRNA from 1 species
CUACGGGCUGCUCCAGUUAGGAAUAAUCUACAAUGCGCGAAAGCGUGAUAGUUUGAGUCAGAGUGCGUUCCAACAGGAAUGCUUUUGCCAAAUCUAAAAAGUUUGGCGAAUAAGGACUGGGUAAGACGAGUGCCAGCCGCCGCGGUAAUACUCGCGGUCCAAGUCGCAGCCAUUUUUAUUGGGUCUAGAACAUCCGUAGCUUGCUUUGUAAGUUUCUUGUGAAAUCCUAUAUCUCAAAUAUGGGGCGCGCAGGAAGUACUACUAAGCUAGAGACUGGAAGACGUAACGAGUACGUUCUAAGUAGCGGUAAAAUGUGUUAAUCUAGAACGGACUAACAAUAGCGAAGGCACGUUACGAGGACAGUUCUGACAGUAAGGGAUGAAAGCUAGGGGCGCAAAACGGAUUAGAUACCCGAGUAGUC